AUGACGCCACCCCUCUUCCUCGCUUGCACCGUACUCGGCCUCCUCGUCGGCCUCGACGAUUUCCUCUAUGCCUACGGCAUGUCGUGCCUCCCGGUAUCGACAGCAUCGAUCCUUGUAUCGACUCACCUCGGUUUCACAGCUUUGUUCGCUUUUUUAAUAGUGAAGCAGAAGUUUACGUCCUUCUCCACGAACGCUGUGGUUCUGCUGAGCAUCGGGGCGGUGAUAUUGGGCUUGCAUGCAAGCGGGGAUCGGCCCAAGGGCGAGUCGAAUACGCUGUAUUAUUUGGGCUUCGCCAUGACGCUGGCUGCGGCGAUGCUGUAUGGGGUUGUUCUGCCGCUGGUGGAGCUGACCUACGCCAAGGCAAAGCAGGUUGUUAGCUAUACGUUGGUCAUGGAGAUGCAGCUGGUGAUGGGAUUCUUUGCCACGGUUUUUUGCACUGUGGGGAUGCUGGUGAACAAGGAUUUUCAAGUGAGUACUCUCUCUCUCAAUCGAAUUUUCUCACCUUGUGUUACUAGUAAACCUAGGUUUUGUUUUUCUCUUUUAGUGAGGUGUGUUGCAUUUUUUCAGAUCGCCAGAAAAAAUUUCUGAGUAAGAGUUUCACGCACUGUUCAGGAAUUCACGCACUGUACAGGAAUUCACCUUUAACAGGAGAAUAGAUAUGCAAAUAAGACUUGCCUCAAUGAUCGUACCUUUUUGUUUAACAAUUAGGGAUUUUGGAUUCGAUUUUUGAACGAUAUAUUCUUAAAAAUAUGGAUCCAAACAAGCACCGCACCGCAUCCAUGUGGCCCCUGCGUAGCCUAAACUCAAGCCAACAUGUAACUUUUCCCAAUUUUGACUUCACCUUUGCAGGCCAUUCCGAAAGAAGCCCGGGAUUUUGGGCUGGGCGAGGUGAGAUACUACGUGCUACUAGUCUGGUCCGCCCUCAUGUGGCAGUUCUUCUAUUUGGGGACGGUGGGUGCCAUCUUCUACGGCUCAGCCCUGCUCGCCGGCAUCAUCAUUGCCGCCAUGAUCCCCGUGACGGAGGUCCUCGCCGUCAUCUUGUUCCAUGAGCCCUUCAGUGGAGGGAAGGGAGUCGCGCUCGCGCUCUGGGGCUUUGCCUCCUACUUUUAUGGCGAGUUCCAGGAGAGCAAAAAGAAAAAGCCAGUGGUGGAACCCGGAUUUUUGGAUUCUGUGGAUGAUUAGGACUUGCUUUGUCUUUUCCUUGUUGAAUUCCAUGCUUAGCCGGAUACAGAUGUCAAGUUGUGAGGCGCGUGGGAAAGAGAAAGACAGUGGUAUAAAAUAUUUGAAUUAAUGUCCAGUGAUAUCCCAAUCAAAAUUUGAUUAGAUAUGUGAUGGCUUCUUUGGUUGAUGAUUAAUUUGGAAGUAUGUGAAAGCUGCUAAUAUACUUCUCUCUCACGUCUCCAUCUGUUUCCAAACUUCUCUUUCCUUCCAAUCUCUUUCUCCCCUUCCCUCCUUUGGGACAAAUGACUGAUAUACUUGGAGCUAGUAUCCCGACGCAUGUGAUUGGUGAUUAUCGCUCUCAAAAUCGGUAUCUUUGAUAUUGUAAAUGCGCAGACUUGGGAUUCUUGAGCUGUAAAACCGGGACGGAAGACUAGUAAACAUGGCACUUUUAACCACUAAAAUUAGGCUAUAUGGUCAAUAAGCUUAGUUAUAGAGACAGGUAAAUUCGGCACUCUCAAUUAUUAAAACUAGAGUAAAAGACUCACAAACAUGGCACCCGUUGCUGGUUAAACUAGGGUGGACGGCAAAAUAAUCUUAGCAACAAGGUUUGGAGGAACCAUCUCAUCUGCUUCUGUUAGGACUGUAGGCGCUGCCAUCUCACUAAAACCAGCAGAUAAUAGUGAAACUUAACCAUGAUCUUUAAACCGACCAUCCCAAGCGCCCCUCCGGUGUUCGAUUGCGGCUUGGCCCACACCGGCCUCCGUCACGGAUGAGCCUUNNNNNNNNNNNNNNNNNNNNGCCCUGGAAUCUUUUUUGAGCUGGUUGGUUUGGUGUAUAUUUUGUCUGGAUAUACGGUUUGAUUUCCUGCUUUCCCCAUCUCACAAUGUCCCCUCUUGUUUCUUUUAAAUGUCUCCUCAAAAUUUAAAUUUACGUGAAUACCCUCUUAAAAUUUAUAUUUAUGUCUACACGCUCAUAAAAUACUGUUUUUACACAAAUACCUCUAAUAUAACGGUUCUUCUAACACCGUUAAUAAAAACCAUAUUUAUUUUAAUUAAAAUAAAAUAAAAAUUUUAAAUUAUCUUUUUAUCCUCCAUCAUGAUCACCUUAUAAAUAUUUACUUUUGCACAUCUAACCAUUAAGAGUAUUAUAGUCAUUUUUUAAUUUGAAACUGUUAAUUUUUUAAGGGCGUUAGAUAGCAUGGGUACAUAUGCAAAAAUAAGGAUGAAAAAAAAGGGUAGAAUAGCGAAACAAUUGUUUUACAAGAAUAUACAUGUAAAUAUCAAUUUAGGAGGAUAUUCAUACAAAAUUUAAUAUUUAGAAGAAUAUUGAUGUAAAAGAAAAAUUACACUAUUGUUAAACUGUGUUUUAAUUCACACCACUUUGCUGCUUCUUUUUUUUUUCUUCCUUUUUCCCCUGUAUUUUUUUGCCCUGCCUCAUUUUGUGAAAGUAAAAUGCGAACAAGAGGGCACUUCACAAUUCACUUGUUAGCGAAUCAGUUGAUUAGCUACCAUCGCAGCAAAACAGGCAUUUAGUGGUGUUCAUUGUAGGGAGACAUCAAAGGAGUACGCUGAGUCCACUAGAGCAAUGGGAAUGGAACUUCUGAGAGGAAUAUGGGAGAGCUUGGGAUUAGAGGAGGAUGACAUGACCAAGGCCUUGGACCUCCAUUCCUGUUUCCAGAUUCUCGUGUGCAAUAUAUACCCUCCGUGCCCACAGCCCGAGCUGGCCAUCGGCCUCCCCGCCCACUCGGACCAUGGCCUUCUCACCAUUCUCCUGCAGAACGGCGUCAGUGGACUCCAAGUGAAGCGGAGAGGCAGCUGGGUCCGUGUCGAACCCCUCCCUAACUCGUUCCUCGUCAACACUGGCGAUCACAUGGAGGUAACAGUUUCCUUAGCUGCAAUCCUUCUAAACCGAUCGCUUCUCAUUUCUUGCGAUGAAUUCAUGAUCGUUCUGAUGGUGUAAAUUAACUUCGGAUGAUGAAAGAUCGUCAGCAAUGGAAGGUAUAAGAGUGUACUGCAUCGGGCUGAGGUGAACAGCCAAAGCACGAGGUUGUCGAUAGCAAGCGUGGUGGCACCAUCGCUUGAUACGAUUGUCGAGCCAGCCUCUCAGCUGGUGAGCGAUGAGCACCCGAUGAUGUUUCGAGGCAUGAGGUAUGGAGAGUACGUGGAGCAUCAGCAGGCCAACCGGCUCAAGACCAAGUCUGCAAUGGAUCCUGUGAGACUGCAUGCCAAGUAGUAUCACUCUUGUCCGACAUGUCAAGUGUUUCAUCAGAGUAUUAGAACUAUUUGAAAAAGAGGUGUGGACUAAAUCAGGUGGCACCCAGGUUUGUUAUUUUGGUACGUACUAGUGUGAUGCUAGUACUGUAUUAUUAUAGUAUGGUAUGGGAUCUUUUAGUAUUAUCAAAUGACGGUAUGCUAUCUGUAUCAGAAAUAGAUACGGUUAUACCGUACGAUUUGGACCGAUAUAAUUAUACUGUCUGAGUUGGACUGAUAUGAUAAAUCAGAUAGCAUAACUAGCUGGUUUGGAUCGAUAUGGUAAAUCAGAUAGCACCAAGAAAGAACCCAAAUAUCCAACCUAUGUAAAAAUGUCGUAUGUACCAUCUUUGUUGGCUUUUGCUAAAGCAAAGCUUGUAUGAUAUUGAAUGAAUGUUGUGUGUAGUUGAAAAUAAAAACUUUACCGUCACGAGUUGAGUCUCCAUUUAUUGCUUGUUUUCAUUUAAUUUUUGAGUGUAAGAAAGAGGUGGAAAGGGAAUAGCUAGUCCAUUAUGGAUGGUUAUUCCAUUUACAUUCCAGAUUUUUUUUUUUCUGGCAAAAAAUUCUAGAAUAACUAUAAGCUGAAGAUGUUCUGUUCGUUAAAAACAAAAAUGGGUAUUUCCGAAAUAAAAAGAUCUAAUCAGAGUAACCGUUCCUUCUUUCUUCAUACUUAUUUUGAACUUGUUUGGCAGGCAUAAGACUUAUUCUCAGGUCUUAUUUGUUCUUUAGUUUUAAACCAAAUACUUCAGUUCUUAUGAGUAUAAAAUGUGGUAAAUGUCCACGCUUUGACAGUAAAACCUUAACCCCCGAUUAGAUUAAAGAGAUGUGUAAUAUAUUUAAGUUGUUGGACUACUACAUGGAGAAUGGGCCAUUUAUAGGACGGGCAGGGGAUGACCGACUAGAUUCGGCCUGUAUUCAGACUAGAUUCGGUCACCUGUCUCUUCCUCUUUUUUUUUGGCUUGUUCUGUUUUUUUUUAAAAAAAAUAUUACUCUUGCCUCAUUUCAUUUAGGGUUUAGCAACAGGUCAGAUUGUUCUGAUCCUUGUAAUAGGCCAGCUAUUUGCUAGGAAUCUAAUUAGCAGCCCUUGUUUUAGUAUAGUUUCUCACAGAAACCUCCGGAACGAGUAAAGGACUCAAGGAUUGUUUUCCAACAAGGAGCGAAGGAAAACAACCUUGACAGCAGGGAAAAAAGGGGACUCAAAAGAUAGGGAGGAUAGAAAGGAUUAAAAAAGAGGGAAGAAACUUGGCUUCCUUUCUUCUUGCCAUGGGCCCAAAAGCUUUUGGUUAACCUAGUUGGGCAUGAAACAUUUCAAGCUUGCCGGAUCUGAUGGGCCCAAGCUCUUGCCCAAGUCUAUCAGACAGGCAGACAUUUAGCAGACAGGUUGGACUAGACCAAAUUUGCACAUCUACUUCUCAUACACUUUGGAUGAGGUCUGCCUAGUGUCUUUGACUCAUGGUCCAAAAGCUUAAGUUGCUGAGAGAAAGGCCAUGUUGAGGCUAAUAAACCCAUUUGGCAUCUCUUUUAUUAGCUAAUAUGGGACUAUGAUACCAUAUAAGUCUUCUGCUCAUAUCGAUGCGGAGUGAUGUUUGCAAAACUUUAAUUGCACUAAUUGAUCCAUCUAGUAUUUAAAUCACAUCUUAACUUGCAUUCAUGCACUUUUAAAAUUUGUUCGUACCACAUGUUGCACAUGUUUUGCAAUUUGGCCUAAUACAGGACAUAAUAGGUGAAAAGUUUACCCACCAAAAAUUCUAUUCUUUGGUCCUCCAAAGUUUAAAUCAGUUUUUUAAUAAAUCCAUAAACUUUUAAAGUGCAAAUUUGGCCUCUAUUAUUUUGUAAGUAUUCUAAUAGAAUCCUUCUCCCCAAUUUUGGCUACUUUCUCUCACCAAAAAUUCCUGCCAACAUUAGCCGGUUAUUAUGUGGCAAAAAUCGCUUAUAUAGAUGAUUAAAUGGCCGAUUGAUGAUACUUUGACAUAUGGGUGAUGACGUAGCAUAAUAGAUAUUUUUUAUUUUGAUGACGUGGCAUAUAGAUGAUGGCAUGUUAUAUGGAUGAUGAUGUGACACAUGUUGUGAAAAUUUUUUGCUCAAAAGUAUCAUGUGCUACGUCAUCAUCCAUAUGCCAUAUCAUCAACUAUAUACCAUAAAUUAUAUUUUUGGUCCUCUAAGUUUUAUAAAUAUUUUUGUGAGUUUUUUAUAGUUUAAAAGUCUCUAAUUCAAUUCUUUGAUUUUUAAGUGUGACUCAAUGUAAAACUAAUAUGAAGAGGACAGUUAAAACUCAAUGAAAAGAUGUGUGCGUGUAUAUAUAUAUAUAUAUAUAUAUACUGUGUGUGUGUGUGUGUGUGUGUGACUAUAUAUAUAUAUCACAUUAAUAAUACAUUAUUAUACUACUAAUUCUACUCCAUCUUUAAUCAUACCUUUAACCCCAUCUUCUUGUUCCUCCUAUAUAUGAGGGGAAAAAAAAUCUGCACCACCAUGACACCCUAUCACACGUUAUUCACCUAAAUUGCAAUUCCAUACCUUGAUCCUGCUUUUUCUAAAACUCUAGCCGGAGCAAAUACUUGAGAUCCUUAAUCUCAUAGUCCACAAUUGCUGACCCAUCCUUCUUCAAAAAAAAACUCAACAACGACAGUGAGCUCGGCAACGGCGAGACUAAGAACAUUGAGCAUGCGUACUUCUCAUUCGUCAUUGUUGUAGCCACAGCAGUAAUCUUCAGAUCUCCGAACCUAAUUUGCUUCAGUAUUAUCUCAGGAUGUAGCCCCAACCUCCCCAUUUUGAGCACCACCGCCGUCUUCGGCUUUAAAAUGCAUCCAAUAACUCACCUCGCUUUUGAAUCAUCACUUGCCCCAUCACUAGGCUGAAAAAGCUACAUUAAAUCACACUUGAAAAAUCAAGAAUCUAAUUAAAGAUUUUUAAACUAUAAGAACUAUGUAAAAAUAUUUGUGAAACUUGGUACAUGAGUAAUGACAUAACAAAUGCAUGAUCAUAUGGCACUUAGCGACUGGAUACUUUUAGGUAGAAAACUUUACAAUACAUGCCACAUCAUCAUCCAUAUACUACAUCGUAAUCUAAUACCAUGUCACUAUCCAUAUACUAUCUCAUCAAAAUAAAAAAUAUCAUCUCUUAUGCCAUAUCAUCACCAACCACAUAAUCACUAGUUAAUAUCAGUAGGGAUUUUCGGUGAGAGAAAUUAGCCAGAAAUAUAGGAAAUGACGAUAUUAAAACAACUGUGAAAUAAUAUAGAUCAAAUUUGAACUUUUUAAAGUUUGGUAACAUAUUAAAAAAUUGAUCUUAAGAACCAAAAGCAUAAUUAACUUUUUUCUCCUAAAAGCAUGACGGCCGAGCCCCAGCAAAAAGUAGCCAUCUUCUCCAUGGUGCUAUUUAUCUCACACACACAUAAAAAAAACCUCUAUAGUGCAAGAACCCGUGCAUCUCAACCCAAUUGUACCUUGGUUUUAAAAACUUAUAUUAUGAGAACCCAGAUUACCUGAAUUUAUAGAUCCAAACUCAACUCAGUUUUCUCCAAUAAUAAGGACCCAGAUAGUUUCAGUUUGCAAUUGCCUUAGGCUUUAAUUUGUAUUUGUACAAUAUUCUUUAUCCUUUUUCGAGUCUCGAUUUCUGGUAUAUGGCCAUAUGGAAGGAUUCAAUUCUUCUGGGACAGAUCAGCUCGGCCACACAGGGUGGACAAAAUUUUGACGCCCAUAAUUGCAAUGGAAUAUAAGCAGUGCACGGAGGAUAUUAUUGAAGCAAUUAUUAGAGCAAAGUCUUGAAAGGAUAUACCCAUGCAGUAUCUUGCUGCAAUCCUUAGGUGUGGAGGGCAUCACCGAAAACAAACACUAGUCUUGUCAGAUCGCUAGAUCUUUCUUCAGGUUUUACAUCAAAAGUUGGAAUCCUGCUAACGACCAAUCCAAAGCAGGUCCUUUGCCUCAAUACUUUCAGCUGGGCCCUCACAUGGACCAUUCCAAUCCAAGAUAUCGGAGUGCAGUACAAGCCCUUAGUUAUUUGUCUUUUGCAGUAACGCCCCUUUCUAACCGAUGCAAAGAUAUGAAUAAUACUCUGUUUUACAUUUUUGGAUGCUGUAUGGCUCUGCUUUGCAGUUGAAAUUUAGCGGCUCUCUUUGCUUCCGCUCCCCUCCAUCAUCACAUGGCCGUCUUAACUCGUGUGCUUGGUACAUCAAAAGGUGGUCGCCGAGCAUUUGAAGAAAGCUCGAUCAAUUGUACGAGGACAUGCGUCCUGCAAUGGACAUUGGAAAAGGCUAGAUCAUAUAUUAUUAGCUUAGGUCGUACUUCAAUCUAAUCUUAACUGCAGUUAACUAAAUGAUAGUGUUGGGGGAUGGAUGGGGGAUCCGAGACUUUAAUCCCACAUUGAAAGAAUAGCGGAAAGGAUUGUGCCUUAUAAGGAGGGGCCACCCCUUUCCUUACAGAGGGCCCUUUUAAGAAGGACAAAACCGUGAGGAGAAUAUUGUCCAUUAAGAGCUGCACACGACACGCGUCGCGCGAUAUGUACGCAUUUUUCCAAAGCCGACAAUAUCUCUGGUCGGGACGCAGUCACUUUUCCGCUCUAACAGAUAGCAUAAAGUGGGAAUAUAUAAUAGGCUGUGUUAAAUUUUUUUGUGUUUUUGAAAUAUUUUUUGAGAAAAAUAGAAUAUAUUGUGUUAUUGUUUACCCUUUUAUUUUUUUAAAAAAAUUGCAGAUUCUUCCAAGUCUGAACCAUUUACGUUUAGACCCCAAAAUUUAAAAGCGUUAAUUAACUACCAAAACUUUAAAUUCGUCGCAAUGUGGCCUAGCUGUCUAUUUCCUUUAUCUAAUGUUAUCAUGCGAGGGUCACCUGAUAACUAAACUUUUAUAAAAUUCUAGACAUGUUUAUUAAACAUGUCAAAAUUUUAAAUCUGAAUCCACCCUAUUUAUUAAACAGGUAAACCAACCUGACCUACAUAACCUAUUUAUUAAAUAGGUUAAAUGGGUUUAAAUAGAUUAAGCCGGUCGGCUUAAACAAGUCAGAAAUAGAUUAAACAGGCUUCAAAUAAGUUAAAUAGGUUAAAUGGGUCUGGACCUAAUUAUUAAACAGGUCAAAACGAGUUAAAUAGGUCAAAGAUUUAAAUCUGAACCCAACCUAUUUAAUAAACAAGUUUAGAUAAGUUAACCAUUUACAACCCAAACCCGUUUAUGUCAAAUCCAAAUCUGCUUAAAGUAGAUCAUUCGCAGGUCGGGUUGACGAGUUGGAUCAUAAAUUGUCAUUUUUAGCCACAAUCCAGCCUCUCUUAAUUAAGAAUAUUUUGAUUUUGUUCUUACUCCAUUGAUGGUGUUAGGAUCCGGAUAAACAGCUAAGCUAUAUUAUGAUGAAAAUAAAGUUUUGCUGGCUAAUUAAAAUUUUUUAAAUUUGGGGGGUAUAAGUAUAAUCAAAUUUGAAAGAAUAUCUCUAUAAUUUUUUUUGUAAUACAUAUAUUAUUAGUUUUCAAUAAAAUAAAAAAUAUUUAAAAAAGAUAUUAAAUGUUAAAUGAAGGACUUUGUCUUUGUGGUUCAUUAGCUACACACCCAACUAAUUACCUUCCUGGGUUUUGACUGUUUGAUGGGAUGGGAGAAAUGCAGGGAGGGGAACACGAAAGAAAUUAAUGCAAAGCGCUGAUAGAGUGGGAGACACCCCUCGCCCUCGGAUGCAGCGGGAGUUGGCAUUAUACAGUGAAAUAGAUGACAAUUCAACCCCAUAUUUAUCAUUCUAAACUAAUCCCUUCUAAACACUUCAUGGCAACAUCACCAUAUCACCAAGUGCUUACAAAAUCACUGCAAUUUUUGUACAUGCAAUUAAUGAUGCUUGUUAAACUAGAAGAAGAAGUUCCUUGUUUUGUAUGAAGAUUGUUUUUUCGAGCUUUCCUUGUUAAGUUUGCUUCUUCAAAUCUUGCAUACAUGCUGAUAAUUUUUCAAUCAAAUAUCAAAUCAUCCCCUUUGCUUCUAAUUUUUUUGACCGUUCCUCUACUUCAAGUUUAGAUUGGAGAUCUUGGAACAGUGUAGAUUUAUUCAUAUAUUUUAUAUAUUUUUUUUUUUACAUUUGUCUCUGCCGUUCGGAGUGGUCAAGCCAGCCAGCCCCUAAAGUCUUCCUUCAUCUAAGAAAAUAUAUAAAACAAAAUCUAUAAAAAAGUAAAGUACACAGAUAAUUUUUUGUAAAAAAAAAUCGAAAAGAAGAAAGUCCUUCUCAAUGAUUCCUCCAACUCUGAUGGCUUGUGAGCCACAGCCCUCCCACCUAGAAAAUAACAAGAGAUAAGAGACAUUAAUCAGAAGCCAUGGAGGUGGAAUCACAGCAGCAGCAGCCACCAGCCACCAAGAACCAAAUAAGCAAACACUUGAGAUGGUUCCUCAUGGCUCUGAACUUCGCCAUCAUGGUCAUCGGCACCACCGGCGGCCCGCUCCUCCUCCGCCUCUACUUUCUCAAGGGCGGCAGCCGGAAAUGGCUCUCGAGCUGGCUCGAGACCGGGGGGUGGCCUCUUCUCUUCAUCCCCCUUGCCAUCUCCUAUGCCCACCGCCGCGGCGGCGGCGGACCAACCAAGCUCUACCUCAUGACGCCACCCCUCUUCCUCGCUUGCACCGUACUCGGCCUCCUCGUCGGCCUCGACGAUUUCCUCUAUGCCUACGGCAUGUCGUGCCUCCCGGUAUCGACAGCAUCGAUCCUUGUAUCGACUCACCUCGGUUUCACAGCUUUGUUCGCUUUUUUAAUAGUGAAGCAGAAGUUUACGUCCUUCUCCACGAACGCUGUGGUUCUGCUGAGCAUCGGGGCGGUGAUAUUGGGCUUGCAUGCAAGCGGGGAUCGGCCCAAGGGCGAGUCGAAUACGCUGUAUUAUUUGGGCUUCGCCAUGACGCUGGCUGCGGCGAUGCUGUAUGGGGUUGUUCUGCCGCUGGUGGAGCUGACCUACGCCAAGGCAAAGCAGGUUGUUAGCUAUACGUUGGUCAUGGAGAUGCAGCUGGUGAUGGGAUUCUUUGCCACGGUUUUUUGCACUGUGGGGAUGCUGGUGAACAAGGAUUUUCAAGUGAGUACUCUCUCUCUCAAUCGAAUUUUCUCACCUUGUGUUACUAGUAAACCUAGGUUUUGUUUUUCUCUUUUAGUGAGGUGUGUUGCAUUUUUUCAGAUCGCCAGAAAAAAUUUCUGAGUAAGAGUUUCACGCACUGUUCAGGAAUUCACGCACUGUACAGGAAUUCACCUUUAACAGGAGAAUAGAUAUGCAAAUAAGACUUGCCUCAAUGAUCGUACCUUUUUGUUUAACAAUUAGGGAUUUUGGAUUCGAUUUUUGAACGAUAUAUUCUUAAAAAUAUGGAUCCAAACAAGCACCGCACCGCAUCCAUGUGGCCCCUGCGUAGCCUAAACUCAAGCCAACAUGUAACUUUUCCCAAUUUUGACUUCACCUUUGCAGGCCAUUCCGAAAGAAGCCCGGGAUUUUGGGCUGGGCGAGGUGAGAUACUACGUGCUACUAGUCUGGUCCGCCCUCAUGUGGCAGUUCUUCUAUUUGGGGACGGUGGGUGCCAUCUUCUACGGCUCAGCCCUGCUCGCCGGCAUCAUCAUUGCCGCCAUGAUCCCCGUGACGGAGGUCCUCGCCGUCAUCUUGUUCCAUGAGCCCUUCAGUGGAGGGAAGGGAGUCGCGCUCGCGCUCUGGGGCUUUGCCUCCUACUUUUAUGGCGAGUUCCAGGAGAGCAAAAAGAAAAAGCCAGUGGUGGAACCCGGAUUUUUGGAUUCUGUGGAUGAUUAGGACUUGCUUUGUCUUUUCCUUGUUGAAUUCCAUGCUUAGCCGGAUACAGAUGUCAAGUUGUGAGGCGCGUGGGAAAGAGAAAGACAGUGGUAUAAAAUAUUUGAAUUAAUGUCCAGUGAUAUCCCAAUCAAAAUUUGAUUAGAUAUGUGAUGGCUUCUUUGGUUGAUGAUUAAUUUGGAAGUAUGUGAAAGCUGCUAAUAUACUUCUCUCUCACGUCUCCAUCUGUUUCCAAACUUCUCUUUCCUUCCAAUCUCUUUCUCCCCUUCCCUCCUUUGGGACAAAUGACUGAUAUACUUGGAGCUAGUAUCCCGACGCAUGUGAUUGGUGAUUAUCGCUCUCAAAAUCGGUAUCUUUGAUAUUGUAAAUGCGCAGACUUGGGAUUCUUGAGCUGUAAAACCGGGACGGAAGACUAGUAAACAUGGCACUUUUAACCACUAAAAUUAGGCUAUAUGGUCAAUAAGCUUAGUUAUAGAGACAGGUAAAUUCGGCACUCUCAAUUAUUAAAACUAGAGUAAAAGACUCACAAACAUGGCACCCGUUGCUGGUUAAACUAGGGUGGACGGCAAAAUAAUCUUAGCAACAAGGUUUGGAGGAACCAUCUCAUCUGCUUCUGUUAGGACUGUAGGCGCUGCCAUCUCACUAAAACCAGCAGAUAAUAGUGAAACUUAACCAUGAUCUUUAAACCGACCAUCCCAAGCGCCCCUCCGGUGUUCGAUUGCGGCUUGGCCCACACCGGCCUCCGUCACGGAUGAGCCUUNNNNNNNNNNNNNNNNNNNNUGGACGACAAAAUAAUCUUCGCAAAUCGCAAUGAGGUCCGGUGAUUGCUUAUCAAAAAAAAGAAAAAAGAGGUUCGGUGAACUCGUAAUUUAGGUGGAUGGUUGCGUUUGGCCCAAUUCGCCCUUAGGCGCCACUUCCACCCCAUGACAGAGGACUUAGCUUUGGAACACCAAUGUCAGCCUCCGAAGCUUCCUCUCAGAACCUCCUCACCAUCAUCAUCUUCUCCAGGCGUUAAAAGCUUUGGCUGGCCCACCGCUCGUUGUCGCGAGAUGCUCUACUGCUUGUGUCCCUGCCAGACUUGUAGCCGCUCCAAUCCCUUGCUGCCACAUGUCACGGACCCUCCCUUCAUUCUGGUCUAAUAAUUAGAUGGAUCAGGUCCAGUGGACCCGUCCAAUAGGCACUUGCCGCAUUACCGCUUGUAUUUAAACAAUUCAAGAUCUUAACCCCCGUAUCUGUGCUCUGGGAUUUGGACUGCUCCACUGGACCUGGUCCAUGUAAAAAUAAUUUGUCCCUCUUCUGCCGUUCGGUGGCAACCGCUUCCUACUCGUCGAGAGACCCGGAUAUUGCAGUCCCUCAACAGUCAACACCGGCCAUGCGUAUUCAAAACCCAAGUAAUAUGGCAUCACAGCCAUUUCAUGAUGCAUCGCAUGCUCAACGCCAGUUAGUAGUUGUUUAAUUACAUCAAACAACAAGGCAACAGAGGGUGGAGAAUGAUUUCGCAGAGCCACAUAACCACCCAUGACCUCUAAUAAAUGUAGUAGUCACAGAGACAUCGACGAGUUCUGACAAUUUUUUACGUCAAAUUGCAUGUGCUCCAGCUAUGCAAAAUAUAUAUUAGAACAAAAAAUACUGAUUUACUGCAGAACACUGGAGCAUUAGAUCUCCCAAUAAGUAGCCUGUUCACGUCCUCAACUUCCCGCAGUAAAGAAAGUUCAUGCAGAAAGAAAACUAGUAGACUGUUGAAUGAUUGAUCUAAGUAAUGAUGUUUAUAGCUAGAUGAUAGGAUAUGUUUAGCUAUCGAUAAAAUUAUUUUGGUUUCAAUACAAGGAAGGAAAGCAAGAAAAAUGCAAUCAGAAGUAAAUUAAAUAUAUAAGAAUGGGGUCUUUAGCAACAGGUCAGAUUGUUCUGAUCCUUGUAAUAGGCCCACGUUUUAGGAUAGUUCUCAAGGGUGGUUUUCCAACAAGCAGCGAAGGGAACCAAAACCUUAACGGCAAGGGAAAAGGACUCAAAAGAUAGGGAGGAUAGAAAGGAUUACUCGGACUUACUCCGGAGGGUCUAGCAAACCCGGCUUCCAUUACAUAAAGAGAGAAGAAACUUCCUUAGCUUCCUUUCUUCUUGCCAUGGGCCCAAAAGCUUUUGGUUAACCUCGUUGGGUAUCAAACAUUUCAAGCUUGCCGGAUCUGAUGGGCCCAAAACUCUUGCCCAAGUCUACCAGAAAUUUAGCAGACAGGUCUCCUUCUCAUACACUUGGAUGAGGUCUGCCUAGCGUCAUUGACUUAAAGGACCGUUCGGGCUAAUAAACCCGUUUGGCAUCUCUUUUGUUAGCUAAUAUGGAACUAUAACAAGUCUUCUACUCAUAUCAAUGACUUGGGGAGUGACGUUUGCAAAACUUUACUUGCACUAAUUGAUCCAUCUAGUCUUUAAAUCACAUCUUAACUUGCAAUCGUGCACAUGUUUUGCAAUUUGGCCUAAUACAGGACGUAACAGGUGAAAAGUUUACCCACCAAAAAUUUCCUCCUUUGGUCCUCUAAAGUUUACAUUGGUUUUUUAAUAAAUCCAUAAACUUUAAAAAAUUCAAACUUGGCCUCUAUUAUUUUGUAAGUAUUUUAAUAUAUAUAUAUAUAUAUAUAUAUAUAUAUANNNNNNNNNNNNNNNNNNNNNNNNNNNNNNNNNNNNNNNNNNNNNNNNNNNNNNNNNNNNNNNNNNNNNNNNNNNNNNNNNNNNNNNNNNNNNNNNNNNNNNNNNNNNNNNNNNNNNNNNNNNNNNNNNNNNNNNNNNNNNNNNNNNNNNNNNNNNNNNNNNNNNNNNNUUCCAGUUUGCAAUUGCCUUAGGCUUUAAUUUGUAUUUGGACGAUAUGCUUUAGCCUUUUUCCGGUCUCCAUUUCUGGUAUAUAACCAUAUGGCCAGGAUUCAAUUCUUUGGGACAGGUCAGCUCGGCCACACAGGGUGGAGAAAAUUUUGACGCGCAUAAUUGCAAUGGAAUAUAAGCAGUGCACGGAGGAUAUUAUUGAAGCAAUUAUUAGAGCAAAGUCUUGAAAGGACAUAUCCAUUCAGUAUCUUGCUGCAAUCCUUAGGUGUGGAGGGAAUCACCGAAAAAGUUGGAAUCCUGCAAACGACCAUUCGAAGGUACUUUUGCCUCAAAACUUCCAGCUGGGCCCUUGCUUGGACCAUUCCAAGAUAUCGGAGUGCAGUAUGGGCCCUUAGUUAUUUGUCUUUUGCAGCAACACCCCUUCCUAACGGAGACGAAGAUAUGGCUCUGCUUUGCGGUUGAAAUUUAGCGGCUCUCUUUGCUUCUGCUGCCUUCCAUCAUCACAUGGCCGUCUUAUCUCAUUUGCUUGGUACAUCAAAAGGCGGUCGCCGAGCAUUUGAAGAAAGCUCGAUCAAUUGUACGAGGAUAUGCCUCCUGCAAUGGACAUUGCAUUGGAAAAGGAAAGCAAUGUCCCAGCUCAUGAAAAAGGCUAGAUGAUAUAUUAUUAGCUUAGGUUGUACUUCAGUCUAAUCUUAACUGCGGUCAAGUAAAUGAUAGCAUAAAGUGGGAAUAUACAAUAGGCUCUGUUAUUUUUUUUUUUUGUGUUUUUGAAAUAUUUUUUGAGAAAAAAAGAAUUUAUCAUGUUAUUGUUCAUCCUUUUUUUUUAAAAAAAAAGCACAUAGAUUCUUCUGAGCCAUUUACGCUUAGACCCUAAAUGUUUAAAAGUGACAGUUAGCUACCAAAACUUUAAAUGAAUCGCAAUAUGGCCCAGCUGCCUAUCUUCUUUAUAAAAUAUUAUCGCAUCAGAGUCACCUGAUAACUAAACUUUUAUAAAAUUCUAGACCUGCCUAUUUCACUAACUUAGCAUGAGGCUCUUGUUUUGGCGUGAAUUGAAAGGAAGCGCUUCAAGAUCUAUGCAAUUGGAUGAAUGAUAGAGGAUGGAGUGCUUUGAGAUCUGUGCAGCUAGAUGGAUGAUAGAGGAUGAAACACUUUGAUAUAUGUGGAGGUGAACGAAUGAUAAAAGAUAAACUGCUUUGAGAUUUGGGCGAGUAGAUGGAUAAUAGAGGAUAGGGUGCCUUGGGAUGUAGCUAGAUAAAUGGAUGACAAGAGGAUACAUUGCUUCGAGAGAUGUGCGGGUGGAUAGAUGACAGAGGAUGAAGCACUUCGAGAUUAGUGUAGCCGAAUGGAUGAGAAAUGAUGGAACACUUUGAGAUGAAGCUUUUUAAAAUCUGUGCAGGCAGAUGAAUGACUGUGGAUAGCAUGCUUUAAGAUCUACGCAAGCGGAUAAAUGAUAAUGAAGAUAAUAGAGUGCUUUGAGAUUUGUGUACGUGAAUGAAUGAUAAACAAAAUAUUUUGAGAUCUAUGUAAGUAGAUGAAUGAUCGAGGACGAAGCACUUUGAGAUCUGCGUUAGCGAAUAGAUGAUAGAGAAUGGAACACCUUGAGAUAUAUGCAGAAGGAUGAAUGAUAAAGAAUGGAGUGCUUUAAGAUCUCUGCAGGUAGAUAACUCACAGAGGAUGGAGUACUUUAAGAUCAUAUGAAAGCCACGAUUAGGGAUAACAAUCGGGUUGGAUCGGGUCAGAUACAAGUAGGAUUGGAUGCGGGCCGGUCAGGUCAAAAAUUCAUCAACCCAAACCUGACUUGUUUAUUAAACAUGUCAAAAUUUCAAAUUUGAAUCUAACACAUUUAUUAAACCGGUAACCUAACCCGACCUACAUCAUCCAUUUGUUAAACAAAUUUUUAAUGGGUUAAAUGAGUUUAAACAGAUUAAGCGGGUUGCGUUAAACAGGUCAAAAACAGGUUAAGCAGGCUUCGAAUAGGUUAAAUAAGUUAAAUAGGUCAGGACCCAAUUAUUAAAAGGAUUAAAAUGGUUAAACAGGUCAAAGAUUAAACCUAAACCCAACCUAUUUAAUAAAUAUAUUUAAAUAGGUUGACCCAUUUACAACCUAAAUCCGUUUAUGUCAAAUCCAAACCUGCUUAAAGCGGAUCGUUCGCGGGUCGGAUUGACGGAUCGGAUCAUAAAUUGCCACCCUUAGCCACAAUCCAACCUCUUUGAAUUAAAGAUAUUUUGAUUUUAUUCUUUCUUCGUUAAUGGUGUUAGGAUUCGGAUAGACAGCUGGGCCAUAAAACAAUGAAAAUAAAGUUUUGGUGGCUAAUUAAAAUUUUUUAAAUUUUGAGGGUAUAAGUAUAACUGGUCCAAACUCGAAAGAGUAUCUCUAUAAAAUUAAAAAUAUUUAAAUAAGAUAUUAAAUGUUAAAUGAAGGACUUUUGUCUUUGUGGUUGAUAGCUACAAUCCAACUAGCCUUCCUGGGUUUGAGUGUUUGAUGGAAUGGGAGAAAUGCAGGGAGGGGAACACGAAAGAAAUUAAUGCAAAGCGCUGAUAGAAUGGAAGACACCCCUCACCCUUGGAUGCAUGGAGGGAGUUGGCAUUAUACAGUGAAAUAGAUGACAAUUCAACCCCAUAUUUAUCAUUCUAAAUUAAUCCCUUCUAAAUACUUCAUGGCAAAAUCACCACAUCACCAAGUGUUUACAAAAUCACUGCAAUUUUUUUUGCAUGCAAUUAAUGAUGCAUGUUAAACUAGAAGAAAAAGUUCCUUGUUUUGUAUGAAGAUUGUUUUUUCAAGCUUUGCUUGUUAAGUUUGUUUCUGCAAAUCUUGCAUACAUGCUGAUAGUUUUUCAAUCAAAUAUUAAAUCAUCCCUUUUGCUUCUAAUUUUUUAAUUUGUCGUUCCUCUUCUUCAAUUUUAGAUUGGGAUCUUGGAAUAGUGUUGAUUUGCAUUUAACUAUUUAAAAUGAAAAUCCUCAACCAUGCAAGAUCCAUCCCCAUCCAGAAGUUGAAUUUGAAAUGAUACGCACAUAUAUAUUUAUACAAAAUGUACAAGUUUUUUUCAAUCUUCCAAACCAAACCCUUAUUAUAUAAUACUGCUGGUCCCCAGUGCAACCAGAGAUUUAAAGAGCUCCCACUUGUUGCCGUGUUACAGAAUACGUAACCUGAUUUCUUGUUACCACGGCAUCCUGCCACUUGGGACCAGCCCUUGGAACAAAGGAAAUCCGGAGCCCUAGAAGGACAAAUAUCUCGAUUUUGUUACCGUUAUCUAUGAGGACUCCCUCAUGUCCGCUUGUAGUUUCUUUUUGUCGCAGCUCAUCAUUUGUCUCUGCCGUUCGGGGUGGUCAAGAUAGCCAGCCGCUAAAGUCCUCCUUCAUCUAAGAAAAUAUAUAUAUUAAAAAAAAAAGGUAUAAACAUAAAAAAAUUUUUAAAAAAUCGAAAAGAAGAAAGUCCUUCUCAAUGAUUCCUCCAACUCUGAAUCUAUUUAAGGUUGUCAUCAUAAGGCUGGCUUCUGAGCCACAGCCCUCCCCUGCACCUAGAAAAUAACAAGAGAUUAGGAGACAUUAAUCAGAAGCCAUGGAGAUGGAAUCACAGCAGCAGCAGCAACCAGCCACCAAGAACCAAAUAAGCAAACACUUGAGAUGGUUCCUCAUGGCCCUGAACUUCGCCAUCAUGGUCAUCGGCAGCACCGUCAGCCCGCUCCUCCUCCGGCUCUACUUCCUCAAGGGCGGCAGCCGGAAAUGGCUCUCAGGCUGGCUCCAGACCGGGGGGUGGCCUCUUAUCUUCAUCCCCCUUGCCAUCUCCUAUGCCCACCGCCGCGGCGGCGGCGGCGGCGGCGGGACCAAGCUCUACCUCAUGACGCCACCUCUCUUCCUCGCUUGCACCGUCCUCGGCCUCCUCAUCGGCCUCGACGAUUACCUCUAUGCCUACGGCAUGUCGUACCUCCCGGUAUCGACAUCAUCGAUCCUUAUAUCGACUCAGCUCGGUUUCACAGCUUUGUUUGCAUUUUUCAUAGU
rnacentral:lncRNA from 1 species